CAUCCUCGGUCCUAACCCUGCACUCACAAGGCAGGAAACACAUCUAGAGGCCCUUGUCUCAGAGCUUCUGCAGGGCAAGUUUUGUCCUCACUACAAUGAGCUACUCAGAGAACAAGACCUCCCACUGCCCAAUAUCAAAGGCAUCUCUUUCAACAAGGCCCAAAUGGAGUUCUCCAAGGAGUCCAUGCUGCUGACUGUCCCAGAGGAAUAGCUGGUUCUUCCCAAGGCGGCCUCUCCCCUCAGCGACAAGCCUCCAGAUGCUUGAGAGCCCACGCGUGGCCACAGACAUGGUGAAAAACCCACUUUAAUAAAAUAUUUUA